UAGUGGCGAACGGGUGAGUAACACGUGGGCAAUCUGCCCUUCACUCUGGGACAAGCCCUGGAAACGGGGUCUAAUACCGGAUAACACUGCGGAUCGCAUGGUCUGNGGUUAAAAGCUCCGGCGGUGAAGGAUGAGCCCGCGGCCUAUCAGCUUGUUGGUGAGGUAGUGGCUCACCAAGGCGACGACGGGUAGCCGGCCUGAGAGGGCGACCGGCCACACUGGGACUGAGACACGGCCCAGACUCCUACGGGAGGCAGCAGUGGGGAAUAUUGCACAAUGGGCGAAAGCCUGAUGCAGCGACGCCGCGUGAGGGAUGACGGCCUUCGGGUUGUAAACCUCUUUCAGCAGGGAAGAAGCGAAAGUGACGGUACCUGCAGAAGAAGCGCCGGCUAACUACGUGCCAGCAGCCGCGGUAAUACGUAGGGCGCAAGCGUUGUCCGGAAUUAUUGGGCGUAAAGAGCUCGUAGGCGGCUUGUCACGUCGAUUGUGAAAGCCCGAGGCUUAACCUCGGGUCUGCAGUCGAUACGGGCUAGCUAGAGUGUGGUAGGGGAGAUCGGAAUUCCU
rnacentral:rRNA from 8 species